rnacentral:rRNA from 1 species
UGGGGAAUAUUGCACAAUGGGCGAAAGCCUGAUGCAGCGACGCCGCGUGAGGGAUGACGGCCUUCGGGUUGUAAACCUCUUUCAGCAGGGAAGAAGCGAAAGUGACGGUACCUGCAGAAGAAGCGCCGGCUAACUACGUGCCAGCAGCCGCGGUAAUACGUAGGGCGCAAGCGUUGUCCGGAAUUAUUGGGCGUAAAGAGCUCGUAGGCGGUUAGUCGCGUCUGCUGUGAAAACUCGAGGCUCAACCUCGGGCUUGCAGUGGGUACGGGCUGACUAGAGUGCGGUAGGGGUGACUGGAAUUCCUGGUGUAGCGGUGGAAUGCGCAGAUAUCAGGAGGAACACCGAUGGCGAAGGCAGGUCACUGGGCCGCAACUGACGCUGAGGAGCGAAAGCAUGGGGAGCGAACAGGAUUAGAUACCCUGGUAGUCCAUGCCGUAAACGUUGGGCACUAGGUGUGGGGUCCAUUCCACGGAUUCCGUGCCGCAGCAAACGCAUUAAGUGCCCCGCCUGGGGAGUACGGCCGCAAGGCUAAAACUUAAAUGAAUUGAC